rnacentral:lncRNA from 1 species
CCAGCAUGAUCUAAACUUUCCUUCCACUCUCAAGGAUUGAUCGGAUCAUGUGGUAGCUUCACCUGUUCAUGGGAUCACGAAACCCUAGUUUACUUCCAAUCCUCACUACUUACAUAUAUCUGUACAUAUGUAUAAAAUACAUGAUACACAAUUUUCUCGUAUAUAUAUAUGGAUUCUGUCUUCCCCAUCUUCUAAUUCUUCUUAUUACUUCACCGCAUGUUUUAUUCUUUUUACAAUCUUGAUGAUUCUUGUUUCUUCUUUCUUUCAACUAUUAGGUGAUAUGAUAGCGUUGGUUAGUCAAUCUAGAAUAUUGGUAUAUACAUAUAUAUGUGUAUAUGUAUAUGAUAGGUAUGUAUGUAUUUUCAAAUCUUAGGAUAUUCACAAGAUCUCUAGGAUAUAUAUAUAUAUAUAUAUAUAUGCACGGAGAUUUUGUUUCUUUUCUUUUCCUCUCUCUCUCUCUCUCUCAUAUGUAUACAUAUACACAUAUAUAUACACAACAGAUAUAUAUAUAUAUAUGUAUGCUUGUGUAUGUUUGUGCAGGUAUGGAAGAUUAGGGGUCUCUCGGAAAAGAAAAGUUUACAAGGGUCUCUUUCCAUAAAAAGAAAAGUUUCAGGGGUCUCUCUGAAAAUGAAGAGACAAAACGGUGCGUUUAGCCAAUUUCCGGUUCAUAUCAUCUUCUUAUUUCCCCGCUUCAUUUCAGAGUAACGGUUCUCUCUCAUCUGUAUAAUGGAAAAGCAUUCUACAUUUGGCUGGACGGAAUUCUUUCUUUCUUGUUGAAAAUUACAUCUGCAUCAUGGCCAGAAUGGAUAGCUAUUACGAGGUACGCUGCGAUCCUCGCGAAACUCUGUUGCUUAUUAUUGUGAGUUCAUCAAUGUCUGGUUGUUUUCACUUAGAUCUAAAUGGUAAAUGCAAUGUCCGGCAUGUUGUAUGUCAGGUUUCGUUUCUUCCUCCCUAUAUGAAAUGGCGUUCCAUACAUUGUUCUUUUUUUCGAUAUACUUUCUUUUACUACAGAGAUUUUGAUAAUUUCUUGGCUUAUCUCCACCAUGAAGUACUGUCUCUCUGUUGGACGCAUAUGCAUUUUGUUUGCGAACUUGAUGCUGAAUAUCAAAUAAGCUUGUGAUUGGCCUCAAUUUUUGAAAGCUCUCUUUACGGCUUAUGUCCGUUAAGAAGCUAUUUUCUUGGUGCGGAGACAGAACAGAAAUUCGUGGUGAAUGUGCCAGAAUAUGAUUUUCCUUCUACCUCUGUGAUGAUCAUAAAUUAGAGCAACAAUAAAUCCAAAAUGAUACUAUAGGAAGGAAGUAGAAGGAAUCAACGAAUUGAUAAUUAUAUAAAUCCCACUAAUUCAUACUGUAGUGAGUAUACAGUCAUGUUUAUUUGAUUUAUUGCAUACAAAUAUCAUGCAGCUUAGAAAUUAGGAACUACGUACAUGUAAUAUAUAAUGUUACACUUAAAUCCAAUACAUACGAAACUCACUCAAGCGUGUUUCUGUUACAAUCCCCACAGUAAAAAUUAAGGGAGAGAUAGCUGGACAAGUAGAGGAAAGUUAAGGGGAGAGAGCUGGACAAUUAGAGGAAAAUUAAGAAGGAGAUAGCUGGACAAUUCUCAGCUUACUUUGCUGAGAUGAAAGGUUUCUAAUUAUAAAACUUUGCAACCAAUAAAGACUUUACAGGUGUUCCAAUAAAGGAACUACAGCUGUUAACAAAAAGAAAAUUCGUUAAAAUAAAUUUUUAUUUGCUACAAGGCUGUGCAGAUUGCAGAUUUUUGUCCUAUGCAGGUUGCAGGUGCAGGUUGAGGAUUUUGUGCUGUUCCUUUGGCUGUUUCUUGUCCUAUGCAGGUUGCAGGUUGCAGGUUGCAGGUUGCAGGUUUUUGUCCUAUUCAGGUUGCAGUUGCAGGUUGAAGAUUUUGUGCUGCUGGUGUUUUGUUCUGCAGAAUUACAUGAUGUGGUGUUCUCUUGGUUGUUUCUUGACAGCUGGUCACAACAUUAUUCUUGACAUCCCCCUUCAAGCUUGGCAGUGGGAGAGGUCUUUCUUCCACUCCAAGUUUGCUUCUUGAAUGACAAAAUUGGGCACCAACUUGAGCUUUUGUUAAACAAUCCGCAAUUUGAUCUUGAGAAGGGACAUACCUCACUUCAAGUUUUCUGUCAGGAACUUUAUCCCGUAUAAAAUGAAUGUCAACUUCUAUGUGCUUGGUUCUUGCAUGAAAAACUGGAUUACUUGCUAGUUGACUUGCACUCAUGUUAUCACACCCAGUAAUAGGAGUUGCUGAAAGAGAAAUAGAUAACUCUGCAAGUAGUGAUUCUAACCAUGAAAUUUCGCAGGAGACAUGAGCUAAGGACCGGUAUUCUGAUUCAGCACUGGAUCUUGCCACCACAUGUUGCUUUUUAGAGCUCCAGGAAAUUAAACUUGAGCCAAAAUACACACAAUAACCAGCUGUCGAUCUCCUGUCAUCCCUGUUACAUGCCCAGUCUGCAUCUGAGAACCCUGUAAGAGUGUAGCUGUUACAUGGCUGUACAGGAGACAUGAGCUAAGGACCGGUAUUCUGAUUCAGCACUGGAUCUUGCCACCACAUGUUGGUUUUUAGAGCUCCAGGAAAUUAAACUUGAGCCAAAAUACACACAAUAAUCAGCUGUCGAUCUCCUGUCAUCCCUGUUACAUGCCCAGUCUGCAUCUGAGAACCCUGUAAGAGUGUAGCUGUUACAUGGCUGUAUAUGAAGACCAAAUUCUUUGGUUCCCUUCAGAUAUCUUAAAACUCUCUUGACUGCAUUCAUGUGCUUAGUUGUAGGCUGUUGCAAAAUUUAACUUGGUUUAUUGAUGAUAAAGGCAAUAUCUGGCCUGGUGUGAGUUAAAUAUUGCAAGGAACCAAUGAUUUUUCUGUAUGAUGUUGGAUUUUUGAGUGGUUCUUCUUCCUGAGCAGUUUGUGCGGCAUUAAGAAUGGCAGGUGUAGAGCAUGGUUUAGAGUUUUCCAUAUCUGCUCUCUUAAGCAGUUCUUCAAUAUACUUUGUUUGAGUUAGAUAAAAUCCUGUAUCAUCCCUUGUUACCUCAAUUCCGAGAAAAAGAUGCAGUGAGGCUAAGUCUUUCAAGGCAAAUAAUUUGUCUAGUUCUUGCACAAACCGUUUAAGUGAGGUAGGAUUGUUACCUGUUAGGAUCAAAUUAUCAACAUAUAUAAGCACAAAUCACUUACCAUUUUUUGGAUUGUGGAAGAAAAGAAAUGUGAGGGCUUUUGAGGGCAUUGAAACUAAUAUUGUAAAUAUUAAAAAUAUGUGAUUUCAUACUUUUGGGUCUAUCUUGUUAAGUCAUUAUGUGAAAGAGUGGGAAGACAUAGGUUUAGUUCUGGACUACUCGAUAGAUUUGUAACUAUUUUGUAUUCGAGUGGUACUCAUUUGGUACCUUUAUGAAUAAUAUUACUCUCUUUUAUUUCAAAAAAAAAAAAAGCACAAACAUAAUUUCACCUUUGUUUUUCAAAAUGAAGAGUGAGGAGUCACAUUUUGAGUUCCUGAAGUCCUCCCAAUUUAGCAAGGUUUUCCUGAACUUCUCAAACCAGGCCCGAAGUGCCUGUUUUAAGCCAUAUAAGGCUUUAUUAAGCUUGCAAACAUAGUUGAUAGUUUAUUUUUCUUCAAGCCCUUCAGGUUGCUGCAUAUACACUACCUCUUGUAGAUCACCACUGAGAAAAACAUUAUUUAUAUCAAGUUGUCUGACCACCCAAUUUUCUGUUACAACAAUAAUAAGGAUAACUCUAAUGGUCGAGGCUUUAACUACAGGACUGAAGGUCUUGCCAUAAUCAAUUCCUGCAUUCUGAUGGAACUCCUUUGCUACUAACCUUGCUUCGCAUCUGUGGAAACUGCCAUCUAUAAUUUUUCUUAACUCUGAAUACCCAUUUGCUGCCAACAAUAUUCAUUGAAGGUGUGCGUAGAACUAGAGACCAGGUGUUGUUUAGCUUUAAUGCUUUCAAUUCUUCUUCCAUAGCUGAUUUCCAGUGUUUAGAAUUCAAUGCCUCAUUAAUUGAGAUAGGUUCAGUUGGCAUUGGUUCUGAACACUUUGCAAGAUAUAGUUGAAAGUCUGAAGAAAACUGCUUAGGCUUGUGAAUUCCAGCCUUAGCCCUUGUUGUCAUUCUAUGAGCAUAACCUUCUUCCUGUUGUGAUUCUUGUUGUUGGAUUUCAAUAGGUCGUUGAUGCAUUUUAGACUCAUUUGUUUCAGCUUCUUUUGCUUGAUCAUCUACAUAGCCUGGUACUUCACCAAAGUCAGAUUGUUGGGGAUCAAAUCCUCCUUCAGCUGAUAACCUCAUAUCAUAAUUCUCAGGUUGUAAUGUUCUGGACUUAGCUUCCUGAACUUGCUUUACUGCAAUAGAAACAUCUUGAGAGUUUGUAUCAAAUAAAUAAGUGUUAGGUGCUAGAUUUAUGUCAGAUAUCUCAGUGGUAGAGGUGAGCCAAUAGGGUGUUGUAACUAAGGUUUGAAUUUCUGGUGUUUUUGUGUUUAGAAAGUUGGUAUGAAAUGGGAAGUGUUUUUCAUUGAAGACAACAUGCCUUGAAAUGUAAAAUUUUCCAGUGGAACUGAGGCACUUAUAUCCUUUGUGAGAGCUACUGUAGCCAAGAAAAACCCACUUUGUGGAGUGGUAUUGAAACUUUUGUGUCUGAUAGGGUCUUAAGUAGGGAAAACAAGCACAACCAAAGAUUUUCAGGGACUUAUAGUUUGGUUUCUUAUUCUGAAGUUUUUCCAGAGGACACAUGUUAUCUAACACAGGUGUGAGAAGUCUAUUAAUUAAGAAUAUUGCUGUAAGGAAAGCCUUAGGUCAAUAUUUUAGAGGAACCUUAGAUUGUGCUAAUAAAGUGAGACAUGUUUCAACUAUAUGUCUAUGCUUUCUUUCGGCUCUUCCAUUUUGAGCAGAUGUGCGAGGACAAGAAUAUUGAGUUUUGAUUCUAUGCAUUUGUUGGAAACUAGCAAGUCCUAAAUACUCUCCUCCCAUAUCUGAUUUUCUUAUCAAACUGGUUCUCAACUAGUGUUUUGAAAUUUUGGAAAACUCAUGCUAUAUCUGAUUUCUGUUUUAAGGGAAAUAACCAGGUAAACCUACUGUAAUCAUCUAGAAAUAGCACAUAAUAUUUGAAUCCACAUGCUGAGACAACAGGAAAAGGCCCCCUUAUAUCUGUGUGAAUUAGUUCAAGGGGUUGAGUAGAGUGAGAUGAUGAUAGAGUAAAAGGAAGUAAAUGAGACUUGCCAAGUUGACAGUCAUCACAGAAAAACUCACUUUCAUUGAUAGAAGGUUUUUGAUUACAGGUUUCAAGAACCUUAACUAGAGUUCUAAAGGAGGGGUGUCCUAAUCUCUUGUGCCACAUUUCCAUCUGCUUUACAUUUUCAGGCUUGUUUGAUAGGUUAAAAACAAAGGCUUGGUGAGAGUGUUGUUUGAGUUUUACUUUUGAUUGCUGGACUGGUUCAAUCUGAUACAAUCCUUCCUUAUGUUUCCCUUGUAGCAGAGUUUUAUCUGUUGCCUUGUCCUUCACAAAAGAACCAAAAGAGUUAAAUUUAACAUCAACAUCAUUUGAAGUGGUGAGUUUUGACACACUAGUCAAAUUUUUCUCAAUGUCAGGAACAUGUAAGUUUCUUUGAGUAUCAAGCAUUUUCUUUUUUCUACGGACAAUUUAACUAAUCCAAUAUGAUAAAUGUUAAGUUUCUCACUGUUCCCCACAGUUAGAGUUUCUUU